AUAUGAACAAAAUGUGCACACGUGUCUACAUGCAUCUCUGGCUUUGAUCUCAAAACAAGCGUAUCCACUCAUGACUACAACUGUAAAUACAGUCCAGUUCAAUGUAAAUGGCACAUAUCCAUAUAUGGCAAUGGUCUAUUUCCAUAUAGACUUACUGCAGCUCUGAUUGGUUAUGCUGCACUGGUCUGUGUAGAGUACGGGCUGAGUCGUAUUCAAUACAAUCCUACUCCGAUGCAUUCUGCCUACAACAAUCUCUUGUAUAGUUAGUUUUGUUUCGGUAUGUUGCAUUGAAAGUGGCUAAUAUUGCGUUGAUUCGAUCACAAUUGCCACAGUAAAGGAAACGUUGAUAGUGUUAACUAACAGGAAAACUCAAAGUUGAGUGAAGUUCAAUCUCGUGCUUCUCUUAGUCUUGGGCUACUGUGCACCUGCACACGCAAGCAGCUUAGAGGGAACAUAAGUCCCCAGCACAAGGUGCACCUGUGUAAUGAUCAUGCUGUUUAAUCAGCUUCUUGAUAUGCAUCACCUGUCAGGUGGAUGGAUUAACUUGGCAAAGGAGAAAUGCUCACUAACAGGGAUGCAACCAAAUUUGUCCACCAAAUUUGAGAUAAAUAAGCUUUUUGUGCGAAUAGAAAAAUCCUGGCAUCUUUUAUUUCAGCUCAUGAAACAUGGGACCAACACUUUACAUGUUGCAUUUAUAUUUUUGUUCAGUAUAGUUGAGACCUACUGUACCAUCAGACUUGACAUGGCUCAAGAUGGUCUUUACACCAGUAGCUCUACCAUCAGACUGUGUCAGGGGGGAAGUGAUAUCAUGAUCUUUGACCCCUCCACUGGUGACAUGGCAGUAUAUGUGGCUCCUGUAGACGGGGGAGGGAGGGGAGGGCUGACUGAGGUCUCAUUGUGCGCCGGUGGGCGUCCCUGGACAUUCUGUGACUUCGGCAUGAGUCAUCCUCUCCAACGAACAGACAGCUGUGUGCGUGUGUGUGCAUACACGUGUCGAUCCGUGUCUCUUUGUUGAUUCAGGUUCUCUCGUUACUUUGAUAUCAAAAGCCUAACAUUCAUUGGUAAUUGUCAGCUGUUGUAGCACGUGUUGCUUGCUGUAAGUGAAAUAGGCCUAUUCAAAGCAAAAGAACAUUGGGACAAUGUGGAAUCUCUGAGGAGUUUGUGGAAUAUGAUGCAAUCAUCAGCAACUCCUGACUAAUUUUAACAUGAAAAGUAAGGAGAUAAAUGGAUAGUGCUAGGCUAUUUCAUGUAGUGAAUGAUACUUGUUCAGUAAUAUUUCUAAGUAAGUACUGUGGGAUUUAAGUUUUCUUACCACAUAUAACAUGUAAAAUUACAACUACUGCUGAAUCCCAGAUUCUGGUUUGUUUUCUGGAAACUGUGUGAUCUCAUGACCAUAUUAGGUGCUGGCCCGAAAUAAUAAUUUCUUACCUCACUUCAAAUUUUAUUGGUCUGUUUUUUUAUCCAUUGACACCCACAGAACUGUCCACAAACAGAAGAGCUCUGUGCCUUUCCUCCAUAUUCCUGCUUGUUAUUCCCCACAAGGACCUCUGUAUUCACACUGCUGAAUCUAAUGGUUCUGAGACACUGCUCAGAGCAAUGGAUACUUGAGAGAGAACAGUGUUAAGAUGGCCUGUUCCACCACUCAGAGAGACAGAACUAAGCCAUGAUUCAUUGACAAUUAAGGGCUUCAGACACGGGUUACAGUGACACUGAACUGUCUCAUUACGCACACCUGAUUCCAAUUCCCCUGAUGAGUAAUUGUAUACAUGUGGCCUCUGUUCACAACUGUCUUGUCGGUUAUUGUUCCCAAGUUUGUUGGUCUUGUCAGUGCCUGUGCUGUGUGGUUUUGGCUUUCGUGCUGAGUGUAUUGUGUACUCGUUAUUAUGGGUCUCAUCCCGUGUGUUGUUGUGCACUUGUUAUUAUGGGUCUCGUCCCUUGUAUUUAUUUGAGUUUUUAACCUCGCUCUUUUGUUUGGGUUACAGCCCUGUGUUUUUGUGUACGUGUUUGUUUUGGGCUUCGUCCCUGUGCCUUUCAUGGCAUGUUUUAUUUUUGGGUCGAGUAUUAAAAUCCCCUCUUACGUAUUCCAGCGCCUGUCUCCAAUCAUUUAUACAACGUGACAUUUAAUAUGACGUGUAGACUAUUUGAAAUUAUGUGCGCUUCUUACAUGCACCUUCAUGUUUAUUCAAAUACUUUUCAUUCAAAUCAUAUGAUUUGGUUUCAAUACUUCAAAACCAAAUGGUAGGUCCAGGUAGUCACAAAAAUAGAUGGAUGUUGGUUAAAUUGUGAUUUUAAUGAUUGGUGCGAAUUUGGAGCGGUAGUUUUUUUCUUUUCUUCCUGUGAGCGUGGAGCGAGCUGUUGGAAAGGACAUGGAGUGACUUCAUGAGCUGGAUUUCCAACCGCUCAACUCCGCUCACAUACUGUUCCUAUGUCUUAAAAACAGUUUGAGUUUGUUGAAGAGGUUGUGGAAGAAGGAUGAGAGGAGAGUGCCAAGCAGCAUGCUGCUUCAGAAGCUAACAGUGCUGAGAAGGGUGUGGUUUGCGCUCUGCUUUCUUUUCCCCUAGACGCUUCUCACCCACUCAAUCUAGCCUUUUUGUCUGCCUUUCUCCUUAACUAGGUUUAUGCUAAUUCCACCAGUCUAUUCUAUUCCUGUAUUCCCUCCUACACCAUUCUCCCUCCCCUCUCCUCUGUCUCAGAGAAGUAGGGCUGCAGGGAGUCUCAGUGGGAAUAGCAGACUAGGGCUAGGUACAUUGCCGGAAACACACAUGUCAGAGGGCUGUCUGCUCUUUGCUGCUGCAGUUCCAGUAGACAGCAUCCCUGCCAUGUUCUGACACAAAGAGAAAGGGUUUCUCAGCUGCUGCUGCACUGUGGCUGGCCAUCUCUGACCACUGGCUCUGCAGCCUGAGGAGAUGAGCUCACUCCUAAAGCUGCUGCUCACUCCAUUCAUCUACUGAACAUGGCUGAAAUCCACGGCUGUAUCCAAAUACCAAUACUUUCGUCCUAAAUAGUAGGCUGUUUUUGAGUAUGUAACAUUUCGAAAAUCAAAUAUACUUUAAAUACCUGGAUGUCAUACUCAUUUCGGAUUUGACGACAGUUGAUCAUCUGUUGUCAAUUAGAUAUGGUGAUGCCCAACUGAAAUGAACGAAUAGCGGGAACAACGGAAUGACGCAUUUCACAGCCACAAUGCAUUGGAAGAGGAUGGACCGCAAGUUUUGAGUACAUAACUUGGAAGAUGGCGAAUAGCAAAGCUUCUACGGUGGUGUUCAAAUGAUCUACAUGAAGGAGUGUGAGCUGGAGGGGCCACUAUCACCUGCAUGGGUGAAAAAGAAGUGGGAGAACCUUAAGCAAAAACACACAGUAUGCUACUUACUGUAUGUUAGCUUGACAUUUAUUGCUGUGCUGUACUUGGCUAAUAAAGUUACCUUUUUCUCUGAGAGCACCAACACUUUCCAAUAUAUUUCCUAUGCUUCAACUGCACAUUCAUGUAUAUAAGUGUGAAGAGAAACAUGUUAGAAAGGUUCACGUAUUCCAGAGAAAUGUACUGUAAUUGGCAUAAUACCAGGGCUUUACAUGUAGUAUGUUUGAUGCUGAAAGGGAUUUUUCAGGAGUUGAAAGCUCCCCCCACUGGAGUCAGCACUGAGGGAGGGGAGGCCACAGCUGCAUCCUAGAAGUGAUGAUGGAUGAGGCGCUGCCACUCCAUCACCCCACCGGUCAUGGACAUCAUCUCCUCAUCCUCCCAAGGUGCAGCUGUGGGCUCCUCUCCCUCCCAGAAAGGUCCAGAUGUGGAGUCGGGAGAAGGAGCGGGAGAAGGAGCGGGAGAAGGAGCGGGAGAAGGAGGUGACUGCCAGGGAGGCACGUCUUAUGACCAUUUUAGAGGCCAUGAAGUAUUUUUAUGUAUUUUGUAUGUCAUUUAAUUUAGCUAUUCAUUUUCUAAUGUUUUUGGUGAAGUCAUUUUUUGGUCGAUUUCAGUUUUUUUCAUUGAAAUGUGUUUCUUGUUUGUAAUAAAACAUUUUAUUUGAUACCAGUA